UCCAAGAAAAAAAAAAGGCAAGUGAUGAUGAACUUUGUGUCUGUUGUCCAAGGAUCAGCACAGCUAACUUUGGAGAGGCCGACCAAAGGGUGAUUUUUUUUUCUCUAAUUACAGAAAUUCUUGAAGAUUCUUUAUUAAGUCAUAGAGACAUUGCAAUCUGCAUUGAUGGAGGUAGAAUCCACAUUGAUAAAAUCCCGGAUACUUGAAGAAUUGAGACCUUUCUUGAGCUGGCAUGAUCAAUGGCUGGGAGAAGUAUGAAGUGGCAAGAUCCAGAAGGAUUAUUUGACACAGGCCCAAUUGAAAGGUAAAGGGCUAUCAUCAAUCCACUAUGAGAUGAGAGCAUUUGAAUGAUCUUAACAGUCUUAAUGGUAAUUGAGAUACUGCAAAGAAAGUCAGAUUUUUCUCCAUGAUUAUUAGUGCAUACACAUAGAGAAAGAAAAGAAAACCAAAAAUUAAAAAUAAUUUAAAAAAAUCCAACUUGUAACUCAGAGUUUUAGUGUCCUUUAUAUUGUGUAUGAAUUUUCUUUAUAGUUAUUUUCAGAGCUAGGAGAAUCCAAAGUUGGAAGUGGCCCAGGUUUCUCUGGACCUCUCAGAGCCCCUGUUGUCAAGCUUAAGAUCAAGUGGCUUAAGAUCUUGUUCCAAUUGCUUAGAAUUAUCAGUUGGCAUCCAGGUAUCUUACAGCUGGUGGGAAAAGAACAUUUCCCACAAAGCCAAGUAUUCAGGGAAGAGUUGGCAAGGAGUUCCAUUAGCUUCUCUUGUGUUUGCUGCUGGGCAGACCACCCUCCUUCCUCACUUAGAACAAGGAGGUUGAUGGCUUCCUCCACUUCUGCAGCUGGGGUAAAUGGGACUGAAUCUAGUGCUGGCAUCAGUAAUGUUCUCUGGCUGCCAGCCACGUACAGAGGAGGAUACCUUUGUGUAGUCAAAGAGUUGGGUUUUUUUUUUUUUUUCAACUUCAGACACUUUGACUAAUACGAGCAGGGUUGUAAGCUCAAAAAUUUACCACUUAAUCACAUGGCAGACUUCAGCUCUUACCAUUGUUAAACUCUUGAAGGCCGGCGGGCCCAUUUUGAGGAUGACAGUUUGGAGUUUAAAGAGCAGAAAGGGGCUUUUCUGCUUCAGCUCAGAUAAUUCCUGAGGGGGCAGCCAGGGACUGGUUCUCAGGCUGUUCAUUUAUAAUUGCUGUAGUUUUGUGGAUUUGCCCCUUGACCCUCUUCUUCAGAACACAAGGUAAUCCAGGGAGGGACUCAUCCACAAAAUAGGGAAGGGUCUUUUCUGGGGAAAAAAAAAAAAAGGCAGUUAGAAGAAA